rnacentral:lncRNA from 1 species
AUGUGCCUGUAUGCCCCGGCCCGGCCCGGGGGCUCCCUGGGCAGGGUGGUGCGGGAGGUGCUGGAGCGCAGCCGGGGGGAGAGGUUUCGCUUCGACCCCGACGACGUGGAGGGGCUGGGGGGGGGUGGCGGCUGCGGAGCGGCCGUGGGGACGUCGCCACGUGGAGGUGGGGGGUCCGCGUGGCUCCAUCCGGGGGUCCCCACGUGUCGCCAUCAGCGAGGGAUGGAGACGGCUGUGGGAUGUGGCCAAAACUCCACGGUGGGGGCCCGGCUGUGGGCGGGGGGUGCUCCGUGCCCCCCAGGAGCGGGACGGGCUGACACAGAGGACGGACAGCCACGGGUGAACGUCACCUCGUCCCCAGCGCUGGGUGCGGUGGCCACCAAUGGCAGCUGGCUGUGUGCCCCCCCCACACAGCCGGGACACAACGGGGACUCAGAGACCUCACCCAGGGGGAAAGGAGGGGGGCAGCACCCAGGAGAGCCCCCAGACCCCCGCGGGGCACCGCCCCCUCCGUCCCGCUGCGCAGCGGGUGGAGACCAAUGGGGUCAGCAGAGCGGAGGACGGAGCAGAGGUUGGCACGGGGGAGGUGAUGCUGACCGGCAGCAGAGCGGCGCAGCGGGGCUGCAGCCCCCCGGGAAGGGUCCCACUGCAGGGAGCUCCGUGUGCCACCACCCCAACUGGGCUGAGACGGACGAGGCCGCGGACUCCUUCGAGAUGGAGGAGGUGCUGAGCGACAGCGAUACCCGCAGGGCUGACGAAGGGGAAGAUGGCGAUGGCGAUGGCGAUGGUGAUGAUGAUGAUGAUGGUGAUGAUGAUGGUGAUGAUGAUGAUGAUGGUGAUGAUGAGGCCAGCUGCUCCGUGAGGCUCCGCAGAAGUUUGAUGCUGCACGGGGUCGGCGGGCACUCGGACAGCAGCGGCUUCGUGGAGGAGCCCCUUCCUGAGCAGACAGCGUGAGCCCACCGGGGGUCCCCUGCCUGCAGCCCCCCCCCAGCUGCUGCUCCAGCACCGGAGCGCACCGUCGGGUGCGGGACCGAUUGCGCCGCUGCACUGCAGGCGGCGGAGCCCGUCCUCAGCCCAGAGCUGAGCACCGCGUGGACACUGUGUGUGUGUGCGUGUGUGCAGCGUGCGAACGCGUGCACGAGCGUGUUGGAUGCACCCAAAACUCAGGACUGGCACCUGCACCCCCCCCCUCCCCCUCACCCCCCCCCUGCCCCGUUUCCUCGGGGCUUCACUUGCACUUUGGAGUCGGCUGCCCCCCCCGGCGCUUGGAACACUAGGAUGGGGUUUGGUGGGGAAUAGCAGACAGCACUGUGGAAAUAAAGGUCCCGAUGGGGUCCGGCUGUGUCCCUGCGCUGCUGGGGGGUCCCAAGGAUGUGGGUGAGGGCUGCGUGUGGCUCUCAGGGCGUGCAAAGCCGGAGGAGGUGCUGCCUUUGGGCAUGACUCAUGCAGCGUGCGCUGCUCGGGCUUUAUUUCGCUCUCCAUCUCUUCUCACCCCUCCGAAGCCUCUCUCUCCUGUUUCCUUAUCUGGGUGCUUUAUGGCUCCGGGCCUGUUCUUCAUCUUCCUGCCACCUUAUCUUUAUGGCUCUGCUGUUCUUCCUCUCCUUGCAGCUCUGGCAUCCGAACGGAGCCGCGGCGAUGCUCUGCGGGGCUGCAGCCUUCACCCGCCCCGCUCUGCUCCCACCGGGGCAGCCAAAGACUGGGGGCACAGCCCCGAACUGGGGGCAGGCUGACCUUGGCGCUUCCCGUCCCCAUCCCUUCCCAUCCCCAAAUUUCCUGACCCUUUUUAUUCCCUGGGUUGAUGGAAGCUCACCCCCUUGUCUCCACCCCCCCCCCCGGAUCACCUCCCCAUCCCCAGACGGUCCCACCUGUGUCCCCCCCACUCCCCGUGGGCCGCCAGCCCUACUUACACCCCAUGAAAGCCCUUCAGCAGGAAGAGAAGUGGUGCCAGGAAGGAAGGCUCCAGCCCCCCAGGCAUCAGCGCUGGAAUUAAUGGGGAGGGAAAGUCCUGGUGGGUAAACAAGCCCAGGACUUCCCAGUGGAGCGCAGCCAAGGAUGGGAUUAUCCCGGAUUAACCACCGGCCCCCCGGCACCGGGCCUGGCUCUCACCGCAGCCCUGCCCUGUAUGGGAUCUGUAUGGGAACCCCCACCUGGGGGUGCACAGAGGGGCUGGGACCCCCCCUUGGCCUCCUCCCCACCCCCCUCGCUCUGCUGGUCCUGGGCUGGAGAUGGGAUUACUUCUCCAGCAGCCCCUCCAGGGCUGUGUGAAGCCAUGGGGAUGGGCUGCCCCCCCCGGGGACACCCAUGGGCACCUCAUCCCAGCCGGGGGUCAUCGGGGCCGGGCUGGGAAGCAGCACACAGCCCUGGGAGCCAGCAGCUGGAGGUGGGGAGCGGGCAGGGGACGCACAGUGACACCUCCAUGCUGCAGGGCCCAGGGCAGCUGCACACCAUUACGUUCCACGCAUGCACUGCAGCCCCCGGUGCUGCCAGGACCCGAAGUGGGGGUUUGGGGGCCGGUGCUGAGUUAAUGCAGCAGGAUGGAGCAUCCUGUAGGAGGUGUCUUAAAAUCGAGCAGCUCCCCUUGGAACGGAGCAGCAACACCGAAGUGGGUGGGUGGGAGGGGAUCCCGGGGGUCUCCCAUCCAAACCCUGCACUGAGCCCCACUGCAAAGGGGCUGGGACGUUUCAGAGACCCCCCCGAGCAGCACCGAGAGGGGUUUGCAGCACAGAGAAGAAGUAAAGCAGGACUGCACGGAGCAGAGGCACAGCAUGGGUGUACAUUUGGGAACGCACGACCAUCACGGGGCUCCUUUGCUCUCUGCCCACCCUGCAGCCCAAACCUUCUCCCAUCCCCCCCCCCAACCCCUCCAGAAGUUUCCCUGCUUUCUCCUGCAUUAUUUUCCUGCCAUUUCAGCCCCGUUCUCUCCGGGAUCUGAGGGCACUCAGGUGGAUCCUGACGGGCCACGCUCCGCUGCCUCCAUCCCCGCACGCCGUGAGGAUGGAGCUGAUGGCUGCGGGUGGGAAGCUGCCCUGCAGCUGUCUGAAACACGAAGCAAAUCCCUUCCUCCCCGGUGCACACUCACUCCUGGACAGGGUUUGUAUGCGAAGCAGCGUGGGGGGAUUAUUCAGCCACCUCCUCCCCGUUGCUCGUGCCCUUCCCCCGGCGCAUCAGCCUUCCCCGGGCAUUUUAAUGGGGGAAGAUGCUCUGAGCUCCAUCCACGUCCCCAGAACGGGAGGGAGGGAUGCUCUGCCCCAUGCCAUGGAGUGCACGGGGGGGAUACGGGGCAUAAUGGAGUGUCCUGGGGGGGUGUUUGGGGUGUCCUGGGGACGCAAGUAGCAGCCACCCAAUGUUUUGGGUCUUUGGGACGUGCUGGAAUUGCUCCCACACGUGCAGCCCUGGGGGACCAGGAGGGUUUGGGUCGGGUCCAUCCGCUCUGCGCUCCCCCAGGGGCCGCAGGGCUGAUCCCUGCUAAUCCCACGCUGGCCCAGCGCCCGGGCUCAGCACCUUCCCACCACCCACCCCCUCCGAUUGGUGCCCGCUGCCUUCAUAAGGGGCAGAACGGAGCCUGGGCUCAUCCGGGGGCUGCGGACACCGCCUGAGCUCCGUGGGGACGAUGAAGCUGUACGCAGUGCUGCUGCUGGCGGGGCUGGCCUGCUGCCUGGCGGCGGGCUGUGAGUAGGGCAGGACUCCGACGGGGCGGGAUGUCCCUCAGGGGGUGUCUGUCCCACCGGCGGGGUGGGCUGUCCCCGUGCCCACACCCCCAGCCCGGGGUUGGUCACUCUGUGCCUCUUCCAUUCGCAGCGCCCGUCAACGAGACGCCGACCGUGGGGCAGGGUAAGUGGGGGUCCUGCGUGGGGGUCAGCGGGGCUGGGGGCUGAGAUUUCACUAGGAACUCUCCGAGCAUCCCGAAUCAUACAGAGAACUCUCCUGGAGCUUCUCCUGUGCUCUGUAAGUGGGUGAGCAGUGCUCCUUCAUCCCUCCCUCCCCUCCGAAGGGUGGGAUCUGAGCUCCCUGCAGCACGAAGCAGCGCUGGGGAUGGGGCGGGGGGGUCCGUGCAGGCACAGCUCACAGUGGGGGCAGCUCCCGGACCCCCGUUUCUCCCCACAGAUGCGAAGGUGGGAGGCAGAGCAGCCGAAGGAGCCCUGGUGGAUUUGGCCGACGUGGUGGAAAGCCUCCUGCGCUCCCUGGGGGACACCCUGGCCGGGGCGGUCAGACUGCUGAUAGGGGGAAAAGCGAGUGAGAGGGGGUCAGGGGGGAGGGUUUGGGUGCGGCGGCGCUGAGGGGCUCCCACAGCCCCUCCUGGCUGCGAUGGGGACCCGUCUCACCUCUCUGCUCCUCUCUCCUGACAGAAUAACGAGCAGCCGGCAUGGCGAGCGCUGCCCUCCCCUGCUGGGAACAUACAUGGGGACACGGGGACACGGGGACACGGGGACACGGUGCCCUGCCCAUGGGCUCUGCUCCAUCCCCAGGUGCCACCAAUGCCACCAGCUCGCCCUGCAGCUCUCACUGUACAAACAAAGCUUCCAAUAAAGCAGACCGCUGAUUGCUGCCUGUCUGCCCCUCCUGCUGCUUGCUCUGACCCGCGGUGCCUUCCUGCUGCCGUCUCCCUCGGAUGAGGGGGGUCCUCCCGACCCCAUUGCCCAACCGAAGACCCAAUUCCAGUGUUUGGUGGCCGAGUCCCACGGAUUCCUUGUGCUUUCGUAGCAAACCCACACCCCGGUGCUGUCACACAGACACAGAGCUGUAGGGGCUGGAAGGGACCUCUGGAGGUCACCGAGUCCGAACGCGUUGCUAAACCAGCUUCCCUACGUCGGGUCUCACAGGUGGGCACCCACGCAGGGCAUCUCCAGAGAAGGAGAGCCCUCCGCCUCUCAGGGCAGCCCAUUCCAGCGCUCCGUCACUCUGACAGCAAAGUUUUCCUUGCGUUAGGCUGGAAUUCCCCGCGUCCCAUUUUCUGCCCCUUGCCCCUUCUUCUACCACCGCUCAACACCAACAGGAGCCCACCCCCACUGACUCCCACGUGUGGUGCUCCUAUGAUGCCCACCCUGCAGCCCUUUCUCCACUUCGGAGACCACCCCACCACCGCAUCCCCCCAGGUCCGUCCUGCAGACAGACCCCAAACCCCCAACCACCCUCCCCCACUUCCCCAUCACCUCACGUGCUGGCUGCCCAGCCCGUGCCAUCCUCCAUCCCAUGACCCGUCACUUGGGUGACAUCCCUGGGGACACCCAGAGGGCACCGCAGCUCACCUCCAUCCCCUACCAGACCCUCCAGCCCCGUGGCACCGCUGUGGGGUGACCCAGUGGGAUCCGGGUGCUCAGAGGAGGUUUGGGGCACGUGGGAGGGCUUCGCCCAUGCCUUGAGCCGUGGGGUCGGGCUGCUUUCUCACUGUGGGAGAGGGCACAGGGGACGCUGGGGCUGUGCUGGUGGUGGAGAGCAUUCUCCGAGCACGGCUUCUCCUUCGGGAUCCCAUGGGAGCAUCCUGCGGUGCCCAGGAGGGGACGCUGCCCCUGACCUCGUGCUCUUGGUGGCGUCACCUCCAAGCAGUGCCGCAGCCACUGCAGACCCCCACCUGGCUUUGCUGCAGCUCCUGGAGCCAUAUUUGCUCAGUGGGGUUCCUGACCCCCAGCUGGGUGAGGGGAGCUGGGCUGCUCAGUGGGGGGGUUGGAUCCAGCCCCGGCUCAGACGCCUUCCAGAGCCGAUUUGGCUGAUCCCUUGUGGUCCAUCCCCGUGCCAGGACCCCUCCC